AGUCUAUGAUGAGGGCAAAGUCUGAGCAUAUUCUUGAAUCUAUCCCAAGCUAUAUAUACAGACUCUGUGUCAUCUUGUUUGAAACUAGCAAUCAAAUUCUGCAUGU